AGUAAUGCUUAGGAAUCUGCCUAUUAGUGGGGGACAACAUCUCGAAAGGGAUGCUAAUACCGCAUACGUCCUACGGGAGAAAGCAGGGGAUCUUCGGACCUUGCGCUAAUAGAUGAGCCUAAGUCGGAUUAGCUAGUUGGUGGGGUAAAGGCCUACCAAGGCGACGAUCUGUAGCGGGUCUGAGAGGAUGAUCCGCCACACUGGGACUGAGACACGGCCCAGACUCCUACGGGAGGCAGCAGUGGGGAAUAUUGGACAAUGGGGGGAACCCUGAUCCAGCCAUGCCGCGUGUGUGAAGAAGGCCUUAUGGUUGUAAAGCACU
rnacentral:rRNA from 1 species